rfam:Ornithorhynchus anatinus chromosome 2, whole genome shotgun sequence.
GCCCUCUCAAGGUCGCACCUGCAGAGUUUCCAGUUCUCUACCAGUCUCGACUACGGGAGGGAGAGUCAAGCAGAGGUAUUUCCAUUCCUAGCUUGGGCAGUGGCUAGCGAGUGGAAGGUAAUCUGCUACGAGU